UGCAAGUAGAACGCUGAAGGAGGAGCUUGCUUCUCUGGAUGAGUUGCGAACGGGUGAGUAACGCGUAGGUAACCUGCCUGGUAGCGGGGGAUAACUAUUGGAAACGAUAGCUAAUACCGCAUAAUAGUAGAUGUUGCAUGACAUUUGCUUAAAAGGUGCAAUUGCAUCACUACCAGAUGGACCUGCGUUGUAUUAGCUAGUUGGUGGGGUAACGGCUCACCAAGGCGACGAUACAUAGCCGACCUGAGAGGGUGAUCGGCCACACUGGGACUGAGACACGGCCCAGACUCCGACGGGAGGCAGCAGUAGGGAAUCUUCGGCAAUGGACGGAAGUCUGACCGAGCAACGCCGCGUGGGUGAAGAAGGUUUUCGGAUCGUAAAGCUCUGUUGUAAGAGAAGAACGAGUGUGAGAGUGGAAAGUUCACACUGUGACGGUAUCUUACCAGAAAGGGACGGCUAACUACGUGCCAGCAGCCGCGGUAAUACGUAGGUCCCGAGCGUUGUCCGGAUUUAUUGGGCGUAAAGCGAGCGCAGGCGGUUAGAUAAGUCUGAAGUUAAAGGCUGUGGCUUAACCAUAGUACGCUUUGGAAACUGUUUAACUUGAGUGCAAGAGGGGAGAGUGGAAUUCCAUGUGUAGCGGUGAAAUGCGUAGAUAUAUGGAGGAACACCGGUGGCGAAAGCGGCUCUCUGGCUUGUAACUGACGCUGAGGCUCGAAAGCGUGGGGAGCAAACAGGAUUAGAUACCCUGGUAGUCCACGCCGUAAACGAUGAGUGCUAGGUGUUAGACCCUUUCCGGGGUUUAGUGCCGCAGCUAACGCAUUAAGCACUCCGCCUGGGGAGUACGACCGCAAGGUUG
rnacentral:rRNA from 1 species